AUGCCUUCCUCCAGGUACCACGCGCUACAGACAGCCCUGGCUGUGAGUCUGACAGCUGGCAGUUUCACUCUAAAGACUUCAGUCCAGCUAAAUCUGGGGAAGAGAAUGAAGGUGGAGACUUGUGCACAUCUGAAGCUGCUGUUUCUAGGUGGUCUUCAGGUUCACGUAGCCAGAGCUGAGCAUUCCUGGUUUAUCUGCAAAUGCAACGAGGGUGGAAUUUUCAAAUGACAGUGAAGGAUUUUUUCUAUGGCGUUGGCUGUACAUUCAGGAAACUGUGGGUGUUUUUCAUUUUUUUUUCUUUCUGUUGUUGUUGUGGUUGUUUUUGUUGUUAUCUAAUAGUAUUUGCAAGUACCGUUGGCAGUAUUAAAAAAUGGCAGAAAUUACCUGUGAGGAAGCUUUAAUAAGGAAGUAUUUUUCCAUGUACUAUUGCCUAUAGUAGAGCUGUGCAGAUGAUUCCAGCAAAGAACUAUUGUUGAAAAACAUAGGGUUUUUUUGAGCCUUCAUUUUACUAUGGAAAAGUAAAAUUCAAUGAAAUUUUCUCAAAAAAUUUCUAAAUAGAAUUUACACAUCAGAUGCAGCCAAAAUACUGAUAAAAAAAUACCAAAUUGACAUUUUGAAACAUAGCAGCUUGAAUCAAUGUUUUGUUUUGACAUUUUGAUGCAAAAUGUAGAUAUUUUUGUGUGACAUUUCCAAAGCAAGUUGGGAUUUUUUUUGGUAACUCUCCUAUGGAAAUGUUUAAUGAUUUGACAAGCAAAUGUCAAACUGUUAGAAUUCCCAUGCAACAUAAAUCCUGUUUGCUGAUCAGCUCUUACUCGUGCCCCCUGAAGAGGAGUUGAGCCUAUCAAUGUAAUAGAAAUCCAUAUUCCUACACAAGAAGUUCCAGUUCAAAUUUGAGUUGUAGCAGUCUCACAUAAUUAUUCUUUUCUGGCAAAUUCUUUUAAGAAGCAGUGGGUGUAAUGUUUUGUCACACGGAGGUUUUUCUUUGAGGAAAGACCAAAUUAGACAGAAAAGGCACAAAACUCAUUUCAAGGGGAAUCUAGUAAAUUAUUUUAUUAUCUGAAGGCAGAAGAAAUAUUUUAUUUUGUCAAAUGGCACGCCACCCUCAUCUGUAUACAAGGAAAAAAUAAUUAGCCUAAAAUAAUUUUUCACUGUCUCAGUGCACUGCAGCGUUCACUUCUGGUUACUGAAUAGAUGUCCCAGAUGCAGAAGCUGCAUAAAGCUCACUUUGGCUGAUACCAGACUUGAAUUUAACCUGUUACUAAAUACCAAAGCCAGAUCACUAGUUUUCUAGAACUGCAUACAUACUAUGUUUAAAAGGCUGGAACCACAGCAAAAUGCUUUUGCAGAAAAGGUGGCUUGUCCAUCUGAGAACACUGUAAAUGCUGUUCCUAAGAAGGCUUGGUAGAAAAGCCAGCUACAGUCUCCAAUAAGGGGAUCAGAGCAGAGCCUGCCUUUAACGCUGAUAUCUCCCAGUGUUUGAUAAGGAAUUGGAGUUUGGGUCUGGCAAUGACGGGGUCCCACGUGGAACUGGAUCCUAAAUCCUCAGUUCUGAAAAUAUUCACUAGCAAAGGCUGCCUCCAGAAGGCAUUUGGUGCUCUCAUUUGAGUCAAUUAAACAUAGAUUUCUGGGUUUCAAUCCACUGCUUCUGUACAGUUACUUAAAUUCACAUAAAUGAAUGGAAAAAAAUAGUGCUAAUGUGAGUUUUCCUUUGGUAGAGAGGAGCAAGAGUAAGCCCAAUUUUUCAGUGUUUUGUUUUCAUAUAUUCUCAUCAGGGCUUGAAUUUUUAUUCAUACCUCAAUAUGUUUUUUAAAAAAGAUAAUAACCAACACGAUUGAACCUCAAACCUGCUAGAAAUCUGCUAGUAACAAGGAAAACAGUAUUAUCUGUCCUCUGCUGAAAUGGUUAAUAACAAAAGGGAAAAAGAAAAUGAGACCCUUUAUUCUAGAGAGCACAUAUUUAUGCAAAGAGGAUGUUUAGCUGGGGGUGAAGAGAUGAGGACUUGGCUAGUUAUGAACUUGUAGAAUAAUCAUGGGAAAAAUGAUGAAGUGUUCAUAGCGGUGUAGUAAUGACAUACGUAAAGCAAACGUGUUAUGAUUAGAUCAAAUUACAAAGAGAAAUGAGUAAAUGUUGAGAACAAUGCUGUGUUCAAUGUGUAAACAACACAUCUCUCCUUGGUUGGGGUUGUUACAAGCAAGCAAGAGUUAAAAAUACAAGAGCAAUUUUUAGAGGCAACCUCAUGACUGGCAAUCAGUGCUAAUAAGAUUCUUUUCCUCUUGCAAGAUUCACAGAAAGCCCUCAAUCCAUGCCGAGCACAUUCAAAGGCAAGGGACUAAGCGCUCCCCUUACAGGUUCAUUAUCAUUCGCAGGUUAUCCCAAGCCAAGUGAAUCAGGAAAGCAAAUGAAUUAGUGAGAAUUAAGGAGCCUCUGUGGUCUGAACCCUCUCCAAAUCUCAGCUAAGAUGAAAGGUAGACACUGAUGUCUUGUGUCCCAAGGUUUUCAGAAUUGGAGCCCCAGUGCCGAGCUGCUUCCUCCAGAGCCUUACAGAAAUGUGCAGGCAGUUAAUGUUGCCUAACGUCUCCUGACCGUGGGUUCAGCCAUGUGGGAAAAGUUUUACGAGGCUGCAAAAACCAAACCCCCUUUCACUCACAAUUAAUUACAGGAGAGUUGCUAUAGCACCUCGCUGUCAAUGAGUCCAGUACGAAUGCACUUCCUUCUCAUCUCGCUAAGUAUUAAUCAAAGAUACUGGGGUAAUGUCUUAGUACAUAACGAUAUCAAAUAGGAUAGUUAAAAGGUGAAUCUAUAGCACAUCGAACCUGCAACUGUGUACUAGUUUACUGCAAGCAGUAUCAUAAAGGAUGCAAUUUGCACAUGACACAGUUCAGAAUCUCCGGUGUUUGCCUCACCUAUUUUGAUUUGUGUGCAGUGAGUCAGUAACUGGCAAUUUUUUAAUCAUAUACUUAGUUGUAGCUGUUAUGAUACAAUGAUCUCAGGGAAGUGAUGGACUUAAAGUACAGCACGUUAGAGGGAUUUCAAAGGGAAGCAGUUUGUUUUCAUUAAAUACUUGUUACUGCUAAUUAUAUUUGAUCACAGUAAAGAAUACAGUUUAAUUAAAGAAGCAUGCUGUCUAGAAAAAAUAUUUGAUUUCCAAAGGAUAACAGUAUAUCUUUGCAUCUGUAAGUAGGGAGAGAAAUAUCAAUUGAAAUGGUGUAGAUAUAGUUGAAUGUGUGUGUGUUUGCAUGCGUAUAAAUAAGACAGUAUUGGUUUGGGGAGACUAGAGGCUUAAUAGGAAAAAUAUCUGUUCAAAAUGAUUUUUGUAAUUCUGAUAAUGGAAUUAUGCUAAAAUAAUAAGCUUGUAUCACAUCAGAUGCUAUCUUUAUGUGUUUUUCAAAUUAUUUAACAUAAGUAAUUAUCUACAUUAAAAUAACAUUUGGCAAAUGACAUUAACCAGUGUUUUCACAGCCUAGGUUUGUAUCAACAUUUUCAUCAGAUAUGUUUCUCUGUAAAGAUUUUUAAUGUCAUCCAUUACAUGAAUGUGAAGAGUUCAGUAUGAAAUUGCAUGUUUUUCUUAAUAAUGUAGAGGUUUAAUUUUUUUUUUAUUGCAAAUGAUAUUUUUUCCAUGCUAGCUGGAAGGAAAUUAAUAUAAAAUGAAGGGUGGUAACUCUGCACGUGUAGCUGAAGUCUUGAAUUCGUGUGCCAGUAUAUGUAAUUGUUCCUUUAAACAAUCAUGUUGGAAAAUUUUCUAGUUUUUACUUCCCCUCUUCACAUAAUUCCUGGCUCAUGACCUGCUAUCUACCAGUCAGGCUUGAUGUGCAUGGCUGUAUCUCAUUUAUAAUAAUCAUGAUCUUUACAGAGAGAUCGAUUAAAAUAUUAUGGUUCUUUUAAAAUCAGAAUGCAUAUCAAACGAAGCUUCACUUAUAAAAUAAAGCAAAUCUCAGCCUUUUGCA
ensembl:lncRNA